rnacentral:ribozyme from 1 species
AGUAAUACUGCACUGGUAGGGUAAAGUUCCAAAGCCUCUCGAAGGAUAAUAAAGUCUCUCCUCACUCUACUCCUACUCAUUACGUUCCCGGCGUUCCAGAGCUGUAACAUGUCUCUCCAAAUAUUUGAGCUUUGGUAGACGGAAAAUCCCAACCCCUUGGAAAGAUUAGUGAUAAAGCUAAAUUGAAUGGA